rnacentral:rRNA from 1 species
GAUUCCUUCGGGAUGACGGUAUAGUGACUGAGUGGCGGACGGGUGAGUAACGCGUGGGGAACCUGCCCCAUACCGGGGGAUAACAGCCGGAAACGGCUGCUAAUACCGCAUAAGCGCACAGUACCGCAUGGUACGGUGUGAAAAACUCCGGUGGUAUGGGAUGGACCCGCGUCUGAUUAGCCAGUUGGCGGAGUAACGGCCCACCAAAGCGACGAUCAGUAGCCGGCCUGAGAGGGCGACCGGCCACAUUGGGACUGAGACACGGCCCAGACUCCUACGGGAGGCAGCAGUGGGGAAUAUUGCACAAUGGGGGAAACCCUGAUGCAGCGACGCCGCGUGAGUGAGGAAGUAUUUCGGUAUGUAAAGCUCUAUCAGCAGGGAAGAAGAAAUGACGGUACCUGACUAAGAAGCCCCGGCUAACUACGUGCCAGCAGCCGCGGUAAUACGUAGGGGGCAAGCGUUAUCCGGAUUUACUGGGUGUAAAGGGAGCGCAGGCGGCAUGAUAAGUCUGAUGUGAAAACCCAAGGCUCAACCAUGGGACUGCAUUGGAAACUGUCGUGCUGGAGUGUCGGAGAGGUAAGCGGAAUUCCUAGUGUAGCGGUGAAAUGCGUAGAUAUUAGGAGGAACACCAGUGGCGAAGGCGGCUUACUGGACGAUGACUGACGCUGAGGCUCGAAAGCGUGGGGAGCAAACAGG